GGAUGGGAUAUUGGGGCAAUGGGGGGAAACCCUGACCCAGCAACGCCGCGUGAGGGAUGACGGUUUUCGGAUUGUAAACCUCUGUCCUCUGUGAAGAUAGUGACGGUAGCAGAGGAGGAAGCUCCGGCUAACUAUGUGCCAGCAGCCGCGGUAAUACGUAGGGAGCGAGCGUUGUCCGGAUUUACUGGGUGUAAAGGGUGCGUAGGCGGAUUGGCAAGUCAGAAGUGAAAUCCAUGGGCUUAACCCAUGAACUGCUUUUGAAACUGUUAGUCUUGAGUGAAGUAGAGGUAGGCGGAAUUCCCGGUGUAGCGGUGAAAUGCGUAGAGAUCGGGA
rnacentral:rRNA from 1 species